GACGUAGGGCGCGAGCGUUGUCCGGAUUUAUUGGGCGUAAAGAGCUCGUAGGCGGCUUGUCGCGUCGAAUGUGAAAACUCGGGGCUCAACUCCGAGCUUGCAUUCGAUACGGGCAGGCUAGAGUUCGGUAGGGGAGACUGGAAUUCCUGGUGUAGCGGUGAAAUGCGCAGAUAUCAGGAGGAACACCGGUGGCGAAGGCGGCCAUCUGGACGACUACUGACGCUGAGGCGCGAAAGCGUGGGGAGCAAACAGG
rnacentral:rRNA from 1 species